rnacentral:rRNA from 1 species
AUCCCGUCUGGAGUCCGGACACGGCCUAUGUGAAACUCCUUCGACGAGUCGAGUUGUUUGGGAAUGCAGCUCUAAAUGGGUGGUAAAUUUCAUCUAAAGCUAAAUAUUGGCCAGAGACCGAUAGCGCACAAGUAGAGUGAUCGAAAGAUGAAAAGCACUUUGAAAAGAGAGUUAAAAAGUACGUGAAAUUGUUGAAAGGGAAGCGCUGGCAACCAGACUUGCGCGUCGGGGUUCCCCCUUGCUUCUGCUUGGGUUACUCCCCGGCGUUCAGGCCAACAUCGGUUUCGGGGGUUGGUUAAAGGCCCUGGGAAUGUACCUACCCUCCGGGGUAGACUUAUAGCCCAGGGUGUCAUGCGACCUCCCGGGACCGAGGAACGCGCUUCGGCUCGGAUGUUGGCGUAAUGGUUGUCAGCGACCCGUCUUGAAACACGGACCAAGGAGUCUAACAUCUAUGCGAGUGUUAGGGUGUCAAACCCUUACGCGGAAUGAAAGUGAACGGAGGUAGGAAGCCGUUAGGCUGCACUAUCGACCGAUCCUGAAAUUUAUGGAAGGAUUUGAGUAAGAGCAUAGCUGUUGGGACCCGAAAGAUGGUGAACUAUGCCUGAAUAGGGUGAAGCCAGAGGAAACUCUGGUGGAGGCUCGCAGCGGUUCUGACGUGCAAAUCGAUCGUCGAA